GUGGGGAAUCUUGCGCAAUGGGCGAAAGCCUGACGCAGCCAUGCCGCGUGAAUGAUGAAGGUCUUAGGAUUGUAAAAUUCUUUCACCGGGGACGAUAAUGACGGUACCCGGAGAAGAAGCUCCGGCUAACGUCGUGCCAGCAGCCGCGGUAAUACGAAGGGGGCUAGCGUUGCUCGUAAUUACUGGGCGUAAAGGGCGCGUAGGCGGACAGGUUAGUCAGAGGUGAAAGCCCAGGGCUCAACCUUGGAAUUGCCUUUGAUACUGGCUGUCUUGAGUUUGGGAGAGGUGAGUGGAACUCCGAGUGUAGAGGUGAAAUUCGUAGAUAUUCGGAAGAACACCAGUGGCGAAGGAGACUCACUGGCCCAAUACUGACGCUGAGGCGCGAAAGCGUGGGGAGCAAACAGGAUUAGAUACCCUAGUAGUCC
rnacentral:rRNA from 1 species